rnacentral:rRNA from 1 species
UACGGAGGAUGCAAGCGUUAUCCGGAAUUAUUGGGCGUAAAGCGUCCGCAGGUGGCACUUCAAGUCCGCUGUCAAAGACCGGGGCUUAACCCUGGAAAGGCAGUGGAAACUGAAGCGCUAGAGUGUGGCAGGGGUAGAGGGAAUUCCCGGUGUAGCGGUGAAAUGCGUAGAGAUCGGGAAGAACAUCGGUGGCGAAAGCGCUCUACUGGGCCAUAACUGACACUCAGGGACGAAAGCUAGGGGAGCAAACAGG